rnacentral:rRNA from 1 species
UCAGAUGUGAAAGCCCCGGGCUUAACCUGGGAACUGCAUUUGAAACUGGUCAACUAGAGUAUGGUAGAGGAAAGUGGAAUUUCUGGUGUAGCGGUGAAAUGCGUAGAUAUCAGAAGGAACAUCAAUGGCGAAGGCAGCUUUCUGGACCAAUACUGACGCUGAGGUACGAAAGCGUGGGUAGCAAACAGGAUUAGAUACCCUGGUAGUCCACGCCGUAAACGAUGAUAACUAGCCGUUGGGGGGAUUUACCCCUUAGUGGCGAAGCUAACGCGUUAAGUUAUCCGCCUGGGGAGUACGGCCGCAAGGCUAAAACUCAAAGGAAUUGACGGGGACCCGCACAAGCGGUGGAGCAUGUGGUUUAAUUCGAUGCAACGCGAAGAACCUUACCUGGUCUUGACAUCCUGCGAACUUUCUAGAAAUAGAUUGGUGCCUUCGGGAACGCAGUGACAGGUGCUGCAUGGCUGUCGUCAGCUCGUGUCGUGAGAUGUUGGGUUAAGUCCCGUAACGAGCGCAACCCCUAUCCUUAUUUGCCAGCACAUUAUGGUGGGAACUAUAAGGAGACUGCCGGUGAUAAACCGGAGGAAGGCGGGGACGACGUCAAGUCAUCAUGGCCCUUACGACCAGGGCUACACACGUGCUACAAUGGGAAGGACAAAGAGCCGCGAAGCCGCGAGGUGUAGCUAAUCUCAUAAAUCUUCUCGUAGUCCGGAUUGGAGUCUGCAACUCGACUCCAUGAAGUCGGAAUCGCUAGUAAUCGUAGAUCAGAAUGGUACGGUGAAUACGUUCCCGGGUCUUGUACACACCGCCCGU